rnacentral:tRNA from 1 species
GGCCAGUUAGCUCAGUCAGUUGAGCAUAGCGCUAACAACUCUAAGGUAGCGGGUUCAGUUCCUGUUCGGUCCC